GCCACCAUGUUGGGAAUGACAAAAUCAUGGUUCAUGGCGUUGGCAAGCACAAAUUGUGAGAUAAGUUCUUCUGAGCCACCAAGAAGGGUCUAGACACACAGGCAUCAUGGUCACAACCCUGUGGACAUGGGAUAUGCAAUUAACGACAGGAAUGGGGUACCGCAAGAGGACUGCAGCAUUUCUGAUGUUCAGCAGGAGUUGAGUGGAUCGUGCAGCUUGUGGAGAUGGGAAACAGAUGAUCAAGAGAUGAAGGCAUCCUGUCUGAUCUAAUGCUCAUUUCCAGUGAGGAAAAGCAGGGCGGGGUAAUAGAUCUGGUGUUGUCCAAUUUAGUCCAUCCAGUCGGAGUGGAAGAUGGUGUCAGAAAACUUUUCCAACCUACUAGGAAACUUCUUCAACAGUGAGGGAGAACCUCAAUAUAUCCGAAGAUCUCAAACCAAAUGUCACAGAAAUCUGCAGUCUAGAAAGCAUUUUGACCAAGGAUGAGGAACUGGACAAAAACACAGCAAACAGAAUCAACAAGGUCACUCUCAACAACAAGCGGGAUCACGCCACAUGAGGUGUUGGAAUGAAGCCUUUCCGCUACUAGAAGCGAAACUCUACUCCUAUCCGGGCAGCCUGGCUGGAAGAGAAGAAUGAUUGACAGUAGGAUUUCCAAACAGCUGUUCUAUUGAUAUUCCUGGCUAAUUUGGAAGCUUCAUGAAGACAGGAAUGAGUCCCACCGAUAUCAAGCCACUGGAGAAAUUGUAGGGCAUUCUAAUCCUCCCUGCCCAGUCUUCUCAAGACUGUAAGCUCGUUAUGGG